AUUGAUCGGGUUGUGAAAGAAGAAGUUAGACUCUGCCCGUUAUAGUGCUAUCUGAUCUGCAAUUGAAAUGUGAACAAAUGAUGCAUCAACCUAUCUGAACAGAUCUAUGUCUGUUGGGCAGAAAAUAUAUUUGAGAGGGAUAGCUUGCCAACCAAAAAUAAUGAAUAGUAGAGUAUAUGUUCCUGUUUAUACUUAUCAUCUUAAUGUUACAGAUGCUCUCUUCACUGGGGAAA
rnacentral:misc_RNA from 1 species